rnacentral:misc_RNA from 1 species
UCAGCUUACAGUUUCCACACUGCUGUU